rnacentral:rRNA from 1 species
AUUGAACGCUGGCGGAAUGCUUUACACAUGCAAGUCGAACGGUAGAGGGGGCAACCCCUUGAGAGUGGCGAACGGGUGAGUAAUAUAUCGGAACGUGCCCAGUCGUGGGGAUAACGUAGCGAAAGUUACGCUAAUACCGCAUACGAUCUAAGGAUGAAAGCGGGGGAUCGCAAGACCUCGCGCGAUUGGAGCGGCCGAUAUCAGAUUAGGUAGUUGGUGAGGUAAAGGCUCACCAAGCCAACGAUCUGUAGCUGGUCUGAGAGGACGACCAGCCACACUGGAACUGAGACACGGUCCAGACUCCUACGGGAGGCAGCAGUGGGGAAUUUUGGACAAUGGACGCAAGUCUGAUCCAGCCAUUCCGCGUGCAGGAUGAAGGCCCUCGGGUUGUAAACUGCUUUUGUACGGAACGAAAAGGUUUCUAUUAAUACUAGGAGCUCAUGACGGUACCGUAAGAAUAAGCACCGGNUAACUACGUGCCAGCAGCCGCGGUAAAGUG